GCCCCAAACGGAUCAACUCUUAACUGAUAACAUCGUGCUCUGUGUUUGUUUCCUAAAGUGCUUCCUGCUUGACAGGUGGUGUUUCUCAAAGCCCCCAGUAGUAAACGAGGUGUCACUAUCCCCACACCCCUAGACAGGGUCAACCGUAGGCCGAUCUGUUCACAGUGAAAGUCAGUUCACAAAUGUAUGUGUAAAACGCAUUGAGCACAAAAGGAGGAAGACAGAAAGCGUUGACAGAAGCCAUGUGGGGCUGCGGCUCCAGGAGGGAUGGCUUGAGGAGAAGCCAGCCAGAGAGGGGACUUGGCAGGGAGACCAGAUUGUAUUUCACUUGGAAGAGUGUGUGGCUGGGUGGGAAUUACAUCUAUGCCUCUUUCUAAACCUUAGCGCUCAGUCAGCCCCUCUUGUGAGCCAGGCCAUAGCGCUACUCACACACACACCAGGGGACUAAGACUCGGUCCAGGUGUUUCUGUAGGUCCUAGGACCACGGAGAUGAGACACAGGUGGCAAGGAGGUGCCCAACUUUUUAGAGCAGGAGCGGCAUGGACAUGAGGAUGUGGUCUGGUGUAGUCAGUAGACACUGACUAACAACGCAGCGCUCCCAGCCCGCCCAGAUCUUUUCUUCCAUGGGGUCGGAAAAUAUUCACAAGAGGGAAAAAAUCUUGGCCUGGAUGUGUAUCUGAAGGUUGGGAAUGACACGCUUGCAAAAUUAGAUCAUCCUUAUGCACUGGCUGUGGAAGUUCCUGCCAGAAAGACUUAUACAAGACUCAGACAGGGUCACUCCAAGGUGCUUGGAACCCAGUUCCCAUGGAGAUUCCUAAGCCGAUGAUGUGUUUACUAUCAUCUGCAACAAAACGUCAAUGACAGCAUCUUUAAGGAAAUAAUAGUUACAUUCUAGCACAGUAGCUAGAUAAUGCCGUUAUCAUGUGCCUGAGUGUAAUAAUCAAACAAUUAAAAUUAUAUAUAUUUUUUGUUUUUUUAAUAGAAUUUUCUUCUUAGGCAGUGAUUCUCAACCUCUGGGUCUCAACCCCCUUUGUGGGGUUAAGUAUCAGAUAUCCUGUAUAUCAGAUAUCUACAUUAUAAUUACAUACAUUACAUAAGAGUGAAAAAUUAACGUUAGGAAGUAGCAACAAAAUGAUUUUAUGGUUGGGGGUCGCCACAGCAUGAAGAACUGUAUUAAAGAGUUGCGUGCGUGCGGCGGGAGGAAGGUUGCUGGGCACUCCUUCAGCCCUCUUUCUCAGCUGUUACCUGAUCAUCUUCUGGGAAUAGAAAAAUUAAAAGAUCUGGAUUUUUUUAAAUGCCGUGUGGCCACCAAUGAUACAUUUGACUGAUGUACACCCAGUGUUCUUAGUCAGGCACGAAAGUACGGCUCGUGAAUCCAGUUGCAGUAAACCGGGGCAGGAGACUGAGGCAGAGACCUUAGAGGGGCUCUGCUCACUGGCUUGCUCAAGAGCUAAGCCCAGAACCACUGGCCCUCGGGCGAUUCCUCUCAUAGCAAUCUUUAGUCAAGAAAAUGCCCCCAGACACUAGCCUACAGGCUGGUCUAAGAGACUCGACUGUUGCUCAGUAGAAUCCCUCUUCCCAGUGCCCUAGUCAUGUGUCAAGUUGACCAAUAAAACCAAACAAAAACAGCACACACAUAAAGUUGAAAUAUGUAAGAGUAUUUUUGUAAUAAAUUCUCCUUUGUGUGCUGGUGGUCACAUGACACAGCAUUUCACUCUAGUUCCAGAAGUUAGCUUUAGUCCUCACUGUGAAGGAAGUAAAAAGACCUCCUCUGUUUGUGCUGUCAGCUCUUCAAAUGUCGUUUCCCUCACCCUGAUAGAAAGGACUGGAGGAGUCAGAACGCACGUGCUAACAGCAGCAUAGGACAUUUAACCCUUGGUGGUUUUCCUGGGCCAGGUGGACAGAAAGCCUUCUGUUUGCCUCAGAGCAUUUGCGGAGCCCAGAGCGAGUGUUUAUGAACGUGCCACGCCUUCCGCCUUCCUGUGCACACAGCCCCACCUGUGGUCUGAGAGCGCUUAAGUGGCCUGUCACAGAUGCACCUUGUUUUCCUGUUCAUCAGCAGAGACUUCCUGUUCCUGUCAGUUGUCCCACCCACUUACUGUCUUGUGAAGAGAACUCAUCAAAACUGUACCUAAUAAAAUAUGAAACUGUUAA